rnacentral:rRNA from 1 species
AAUAUUGGACAAUGGGCGCAAGCCUGAUCCAGCCAUGCCGCGUGAGUGUUGAAGGCCCUAUGGGCGUAAAGCUCUUUCACCGGUGAAGAUAAAGACGGUAACCGGAGAAGAAGCCCCGGCUGACUUCGUUCCAGCAGCCGCGGUAAUACGAAGGGGGCUAGCGUUGUUCGGAAUUACUGGGCGUAAAGCGCACGUAGGCGGAUCGGUCAGUUAGGGGUGAAAUCCCGGGGCUCAACCCCGGAACUGCCUUUAAUACUGCCGGUCUAGAGUCCGAGAGAGGUGAGUGGAAUUCCGAGUGUAGAGGUGAAAUUCGUAGAUAUUCGGAGGAACACCAGUGGCGAAGGCGGCUCACUGGCUCGGUACUGACGCUGAGGUGCGAAAGCGUGGGGAGCAAAC